UAUCAAACGUAGAAGAGGACCAGUAAAAUGAUUUCGUCUAUUCAAGAGAAGGUGCCAAGUGGUGUGAGGCAGCUAUAGAUGAGCAUUUGAACCUGCCUCGGAGUUCUGCAUCAGAAACGGUGCAGCGGUUCAAUACCGUUACCAUGAAAGAGAGUGAAGCUUUGCUUUGAAUAAGGGUGGUACCGCCAGAGAUGGUCCCUUAU
rnacentral:ncRNA from 1 species